rnacentral:tRNA from 1 species
GUCCCUGUCGUCUAACGGUCAGGAUGGGAGGCCUUCAACCUCGCGGUCAGGGUUCGAUUCCCUGCAGGGACG